rnacentral:lncRNA from 1 species
UUGGAUUUUGUUUAUUUAUUUAGUAUCCAGUAACUUUGCUAAAUUCACUUAUUAAUUCUGAGUUUAUCUACAAUUUCUUUAACCAAUGUCAUAAUUUUCAUAGCCAUUUCUAACUUUUAGCAUCUUUCAUCAUCUGGAGAGGCUUAGGAUUUUCAAAACCAUGCAGACUUCAUUCCUUUUUGUUGAACAGUUCUUCCCUUAAUUAUCUUACUCCUCUUUCAUUUUUACCAUAAGCAGGAAGAAGAAAACAGACCACACCUUGAACAGUAUACUUAGAAAUUUCCUUUCAUCCAGGUUCAUCAUUUACAAGUUCUGCUUUCCACUUAACUGCAGGACAUAAUUCCAUUAAGCUUUCUGCCACAACAUAAUGAUAGUUCCCCUUCUUCCAGUUUUAAAUAACAAUUUCCUUACUUCUUUCUAAGUCCUGACCAUGAGUAUUCUCAACAUCCUUAUCUCUACUAAUGGUCUGUUUAAGGCAAUUUAGAUAUUCUUUAUCAUACUUCUUAAAAAUCCAAAGCCUCCACAGACUGCCUGGUUCCAAAGCCGCUCCCCUUUUUAAGAUAUUUACAGAAGCAUUCCAACUUCAGGUACAACAGUCUAUGUCAAUUUUAUGUUACUGAGUAACAAAUUAUCACAAAAUUAUUGGUUUAAAAUAACACAAAUUUAUCAUCUCACAGUUACCAUGGGUCAGGAGUGUGAGUAGGAAUUGACUGGAUUCUCUAUUCAUGAUCUCCCCAGGCUGAAAUCAAGGUGUUAACCAGGUUGCAAUUCUCAUCUGAGUCUCCGAGUCUUCAUCCAAGGUUUGUGUCCUACAGAAAAUCUUCCACUAAUGCACUUGGAGACAUACAAGAAUAUUCUUGGCAGCACUGUUUAUUUCCAAGACAUUGGAAACCAACUGAACAUUGUAACAAUAAUACAAAAAAGUAAAUAUUGUGAAAUGACCUAGAGCCACCUACAGCAACACUAAAGACUCUUAGAAACAAAAAUCGAAUCAAAAAAGCAAGUUGAAGACUACAUAUGUAUUUUGUAAUUUUCAUUUUAAAAAUAUAUUUUAAUUUAUAUAUUAUAUUCAAAUAUAUGUGAUAUAUUUUAACUAAAACAUUAAUUGAAUAUUAUUUUUUCAUUAUGCUAUAUUUAAUCUACAAAUUCUUAUUUUUCAUAAAUCAACAGUUGAAAUAUAGCUAAUGUAAGUAUUUAUAAUGACCAAAGUUUUCAAAAUGUUGUAAAUCCUCAGCAUUUUUUUUUUACUGCAGUCUCAGUUAUGCAUUUUCAAAUGAUCCAGGGCUAUACAUGCAUAAUCCAAAAAUAGGGAGCAGAGUUUAAAACCUAAGAAUAAUUAGUAUCUCUUAAUUACUUUUAUUCUGAUUCACAUUUGCUUCUCUUUAUGUAAGCAGAAUAUAUUUAGUGUAAUAAUGUAAGUAUUUCUGUUUAUUUGAUUUUCUACUUAGCACAGAAUUAUAAAUAUGUUGGCUUAAUUCUUAUCUAUUUAACAUGGCAUGAUAUUAUAAAUAAAUAUUUUGGUAAAUAUAUUUCCUCAGAGAUGUUUAAAUGAAUUAUUUCAACUGCUGAAGAUAUUCAACACUGUUUUUUUUUUUUUAAGAGACAGAGUCUCGCUCCAUCACCCAGGAUGGAGUGCAGUAGUGCAAUCUCGGCUCACUGCAGCCUCUGCCUCCCGGGUUCAAGCAAUUCUCUGCUUCAGCCUCCCGAGUAGCUGAGAUUACAGGCACCCGCCACCACGCCUGGCUAAUGUUUUUGUAUUUUUAGUAGAGACAGGGUUUCAUCAUGUUGGCCAGGCUAUUCUUGAACUCCUGACCUUGUGAUCCACCCACCUCGGCCUCCCAAAGUGCUGGGAUUACAGGUGUGAGCCACCGUGCCCAGCCUCAACACUAUUUUCAUAUUAUUAGUAUUAAAAUUCCCAUUUGCAUAUGGUUAUAGAUUUCUUACCAACUUCCAUAUUUUCAAACUGAAAAAAUGUAAAACUAAAUUCUUUUUUAGAAACUCCAUGUGUGAUAAAUAAAAUUAUUUAACAUUUUGGUGUAAUAUUUACAAAUCCUGCAAAAUAGCACCCAGAUCCUUGGUUGAUGCCAGAGUCACUCUGCAUUAUGCAAUGACACUUUAGGCAAAAAGUAAUAAUAAUAGCUGCAAAGAAACAUUCAAGAAUACUGUACUAAAUGCAACUAAACUCUACAAUAAAUGCAAAGUAUCAGCACUUAAGUGGAUUAGUUGAAGUGUGCCAUUAUCAUGCCAGGGUGACAUAACACAACACAAUGGCAUAUACCAUUGUAUCAGAGUAGAGGAAACCUUUCUCUCCUUUUCACAUUUGCAUAUGGUUACGUUUAAAUUACCACCUAUUUUAUAUAAUAACUGGCAGGUGUUAUGAUAAAGAUAUUAAAUAACAUUCCAUUUUUUCAUUAAAGAAAUCAAAAUAUAGAAUAGCCCUAAAGAAACUGAGAGUUGUGUACAGGUUUUAUGAGCACAGAAGCACUUUUAAAUAUGUAACAGGGGACAUGCAAACAUUGGAACAUCAGAAUUAGCCACCGUAAUUCUCUAAUCUCCAUGUUUCUAUUUGUAUAUAAUCUGAAACAGGGAAACUAUACUCACAAUCAGGGAAAACUACUGGUAAAUUGUUCAUGCCAUUGCAUAAUAAAAUGGCUAAAGUAGUUAAAAAGUAAUGAAUCUGGAAGUCUUUAGCAGACAUAUUCAGUGUAACUUAUGUCACACUUAAAAGAGAAAAAUAGUAUUAAAAAUUAGAGAUCUUUUAUCUUCCCUUAGUAAAUAACCUUUUCUAUCGAAACAAAAUUACUUGAGUCUAAAUCCUGUUAUAAGCACAGUGUUAGAUAUCUUACAUAUAUUAUUUCAUUGAAUACUAACAAAAAACCCUUUGAUAAACAUGGUAUUCUUCCCAGUUUAUAGAGAUGGAAACAUAGAAAUUAGGUAAUGUGCCCAUGUUUGUACAGGUAAUAAGUGGUAGACCUGGAUCUAAAAUACAUAUUAGGCUUCAAACUAAUUCAUACUCUAAAAGAAUAUUUGCCAAAGUACAUAAUACAAUUUGCUAACAGAUGCUAAGGUAAACAAAAAAUUGAUUAUGAUAGUUAAUUUACACAAGGAUAAGUUAUAAGCUAAAAUAUUUUUUUCCCUUAACAAAAUAUUAUGUAUCAUUUAUUUAUUUAUUUUUUUGAAACGGAGUCUCGCUCCAUCGCCCAGGUUGGAGUGCAGUGGCGCCAUCUCAGCUCACUGCAACCUCCACCUCCUGGGUUCAAGUUAUUCUCCUGCCUCAGCCUCCCAAGUAGCUGGAAUUACAGGCACGUGCCACCAUGCCCAGCUAAUUUUUGUAUUUUUAGUAGAGACGGGGUUUCACCAUAUUGGUCAGGCUGGUCUUGAACUCCUGAUUUCGUGAUCCACCCACCUUGGCCUCCCAAAGUGCUGGGAUUACAGGCAUGAGUCACCGCGCCUGGCCAUAUAAUUUCUAAAGAUCAAAAGGAAUUAAAAUAAAUGGGCAAAAAUGAAAACUCAGCUAUAGCUUUUGAAAACUCAUUCAUACCUUAUGAGAAAGCUGUUAUUUUAAUAGCUAUAUUGGUAGUAUAAACCAAGCUUUGAAAAGCCAUUUGUAUAUAACAUGUAUUAUUGAUUAAUAAACAUAAAAUUAAAUGAUUAAAAAAUAAUGCAUCAUAAGUUAUUAAUGGCAAUUAGAAGCUAUUUUUUAAAAACUUCAGCAAAAGAUAUUUUUCUUAUAAUAAGCUCUGAAUAAAUGUUGCUAAACCAGCUGCUGCCUGAGCAAAUAAUCUAAUAAUUUUACUGUAGGCUUUUAAAUUGCUGCUUUAAACGUUUUUAAAAUCUUCUUUAAAUAUGAAGUUGAUGUGAAUAUUUCCCAAAACAUAAGUUAUUUUUUCUUUUAACCUUUGACAUUUGAAUUAAGAUAUAAAAUGUUUUAACAUAUUUGUUGUACAUACUGCAAUGUUUAUGUAUCCUUCCUAACAUGCCUUCUGUUCCUAGCCAUAUGGAAAUGAUCUUUCUUUAAUAAUGUUUUUAUUGUAAUAAAAAUGCAUCAUAAGUUAUUAAUGGCAUAACAUAAAACCAAUUUUAGGAUACAGUUCAAUGGUCUUAAAUGCAUUUAUAUAACUUUCUGCAACAAUUAUCCUCACCCAUCUCCUAGAAUUCUUUUCAUUGUAAAACUGAAACUCUAUACUCAUUAAACAGUAACUCCUCAUUCCCUCUCCCCCAGCCCUAACAAACAUCAUUCUACUUCUGUAUUUAUAAUUUUCACCACUCAAAGUACCUCAUAUACACGGAAUCAUAUAGUAUUUGUCUUUCUGUUAUUGGUUUAUUUCACUUAGCAUAAUGUCCUCAAGCUUCAUCAAUGUUGUGGAAUUUGCUAGAAAUUCCUUCCUUUUUAAGGCUGAAUAAUAUUCCAUUGUAUGUAUAUACCACAUUUUGCUUAUUCCUUCAGCUGCCAAUGAACACUGAAUUGUCUCCAUGUUUCAGCUACUGUGAGUAACACUGCUAUGAACAUGGGUGUAAAAUAUCUUUUUAACAUGCUGCUUUCAAUUCUUUUGUGUAUAUAGGCAGAAGUGCAAACUGUGAGAUCAUAUGGUAAUUCUAUUUUUUAUUUUUUGAGGAACUGUCAUACUGUUUUCCCAUAGUGACUAUACCACUUUACAUUCUGCCAAUAGUGAACAAUGGUUCCAAUUAACUUAUGUCCUCACCAGCUUUCUUUUUGUUUUUAAUGGAAACCACCCUUAUUAGUCUGAAGUGAUACCCUACUGCAGUUUUGAUUUGUAUUUCCUUAAUGAUUAAUGAUGUUAAGCAUCUUUUCAUGUACUUUACCAUUUAUAUAUCUUCAAUCUAGAAAUGUGUUAUUAAAGUCCUUUUUUGGAUUGGACUUUUUGUUGUUGUUGAGUUUUAGGAAUUCUCUAUAUAUUCUGUAUAUUAAUUCCUUGCCAGAUAUAUGAUUACAGAUAUUUUCUCCCAUUCUAUUGGUUGCCUUUUUACUCUGAUGACAGUCUUUCGAUGCCCCAAAUUUUAAAAUGUUUAUAAAGUCCAGUUUUUCUAUUGUUGCCUGUGCCUUUUGUGUCAUAUCUAAGAAAUCAUUGUUAAAAUCAAUGCCAUGAUACUUUUGUCCUAUAUUUUCUUCUGAGAGUUUUAUAGUUUUGUGUCUUAUAUUUAGGUCUUUGAUUAUUUUGAGUUAAUUUUUGUAUAUGGUAUUAGUAAGGGUCCAACUUUAUUAUUUUGCAUGUAGAUACCCAGUAUUCCCAGCACAAUUUGGUAAAAAGACUGUCUUUCCCCAUUGAUUGGUCUUGGUACUAUUGUCAAAAUCAUUUGAUCAUAUAUGUGAGGGUUUAUUUCUGGGCUGUUUAGUCUAUUCCAUUGGUCUAUAUGUCUGUCUUUAUGCCAGUACCAUACUGUUUUGAUUACUGUAGCUUUGCAGUAGUUUAGAAAUAAGAAAGUAUGAGUCUUCCAAGUUUGUUCUUCUUUUGCAAGAUUGUUUGGGCUAAUCAGUGUCCCUUGAGACUAUACGAAACUUAGGAUGGGUUUUUAUGUUUUUGCAAAAAAAAGGUCUUUGGGAUUUUGAUAGAAAUUGUGAACAUAGGAUAUGUUUACAUUUAUUUAUGUCUUCUUUAAUUUCCCUCAGCAAUGUUUUUUAGCUUUCAUUGUACAAGUCUUUCAUCUCUUUGACAAAUUCCUAAGUACUUUAUUCUUUUGAC